rnacentral:rRNA from 1 species
GACAGAGGGUGCAAACGUUGCUCGGAAUUACUGGGCGUAAAGCGCGUGUAGGCUGACCUUCAAGUCGGACGUGAAAUCCCUGAGCUCAACUCAGGAACUGCAUCCGAAACUGAAGGCCUAGAGUAGUGGAGAGGGAAGCAGAAUUCCUGGUGUAGAGGUGAAAUUCGUAGAUAUCAGGAGGAACACCGGUGGCGAAGGCGGCUUCCUGGCCG